rnacentral:rRNA from 1 species
UACGUAGGUGGCAAGCGUUGUCCGGAUUUAUUGGGUUUAAAGGGUGCGUAGGCGGCUUUGUAAGUCAGUGGUGAAAUACUCUAGCUUAACUAGAGGGGUGCCAUUGAUACUGCGGAGCUUGAGUACAGAUGAGGUAGGCGGAAUUGACGGUGUAGCGGUGAAAUGCUUAGAUAUGACAUAGAACACCAAUUGCGAAGGCAGCUUACUACACAGUGAUUGACACUGAGGCACGAAAGCGUGGGGAUCAAACAGG